rnacentral:snoRNA from 1 species
CAUGCCCUAGAGGCCUUGCAGAUGUGGCUGCUGUGUCACAUGUGCAACAGUAGAUGACAGAGAGGAGAGAGGUUAUGUCUAUGCUCAGUGUUCCAACUUAUGAACAUCUUAAUGAUUAGCCUAGCAUU